ensembl:lncRNA
CAAAAGCCCACAGAAGUAUUCAACCCAAGGAGCAACCUCUGCCGGGGAGCCCGGUGGAACAGCCAAGGGGGAGCAGAGUGAUGAGGAUGGGUGAAGAUAUAUUCUCAGUAGCCUGGUGACACCAGAGCACCCGAUGGCUGCUGCACAUCCCAAGGGUUGCACUGUCCUGUGUGCAUGUGUGUCAACCCCAGGGACUCCUCCCUGCUGCAGGAGCCUGGCUUUUCUCCUUCCAUUGAAAAUGCUUCACACUGACUUUCUGGUGUUUCUCUAAUCCUUCUGGCACUCUGGGAACCUAGCCUGGAUUUUUCUACCCUAAGGAAGACACAAAACCUCCUGAACCUCCAACCUUGGAGCCUUCCCCCUGCCCCAGCCCGGCUCACAACGCUGCUGCUGUAUGCCCAUGAGGGCUCACUGGGGGCUUCCCCAGGCAGCUCCCGUGCUGCCACCGGUCGGAUGCUUCCCACAAAUGAGAUCUUCCUUCCCUGGUGCAAUGAAUGUUUACCCGCGGUGCUGAUACCAGCUCAGUCUGUCACUGCGGGAUCAAAACCAGAACUGCACAGUCCCUGAUAAAAAGGCCAGAUGUGCCGCUGUAAUUAAUGCAAUUUGCUCAACACCGCAACAAUUAAGUGCAAUGCGAUAGCUCAGUAAUCUUCGGGGCUUGGAAGUGCCAUCCCCAAGGCAUCCCCAGCUGCUCCAGCUUUCCUUUCUGCUCUGUCUUUUUCAUAAAUUUAGAAACAUAAAGGAUUUACUGAGGAACCACAACAUCAAGUAAAGGGAACAGAAAGAACACAACGGGGGGGGGGGUGAGGUGCACCUGAGGUGCUUUGGCACACAAGGCACAUCCACACCCUCUUCAGCAGGUCCUCCAUCAUCAGUCUCUGCUCGGGAUCCACCCAACCUAACCCUUUGCCAUUGAGACCAAGGCUCAUGGGCCCUUCUGCAUGCAGUCCUUUGCUCGGUAACACUGCUCACUCUCAUGUUCUUGCUCCAAAGCCAAGGUCCCAUUUGCCUCCCUCCCUUCACAGACCAGUGUCAUCCGUUGGGGUCAUCACAGCUCUGUUCACAAGCUGUGAAGUGACAGGAUGCAUUUAUAUUCCUCGUUACUUCUUUUUGGUUCAUGCAAGAAACAGAAAAGCUCCAAAGUUUCUCUUUUAGACACAAAUCCCUCAGGAUUUUGUCACUUAAAAACUGGGGGGAGUAAAAAAAGAAAGACAGUAAUGAGGGAAAAGUGACGAAGUUUUGUUAAAAGCCUACAGGUUUUCAUGGAAAAUGAAGUGAUGGGAAAUGAGAGGUGUUUGAUAGAUGGGCUAAUUUCCCUACCUGACAACCCAGACAGUGUGAUACAAAAAAAGCCCACCAUGUUUGGGUUUGUUGUUUUGUUUUGCAUCCCCUCUAUGUGUGUGUAUAUGCAUGCCUUCAGAAGGGAAGAUGCUACUUUUACAUAUUAAUGCAUGCAUGUAUCUCUACCAUCCAUUAGCAAAACUAUCUGGAAAAAGGGAAGAGGUUUAUAUAUUUAUUUUUUUCCCCCCAGCAUUUGUAAGCUGAAGGCAAUUAAAAACAUCACAGAGAAGACAAAAGGAAGCAUUGCCCUCUUUCAGCCCACUCAGAGAGGGGAAGGUUCUUGCGAACUUAAAUGAGUUUGACAACCUUUAAAUAUAAACAGCUGAUCUGACUGCUGAGAAAUUAUUUAAAAAGAAGAAGAAAAGGAGAAUAAAAAGUUCCUGAGAAGGUCAGCAAUGGAGUGAGUGCCAGCCACAUCACCAUCUGUAGCACAGUCCAAAUGACAAGGACAAAGGAACAUAAUUAGGUCUUGGUAAAAGGCAUGGGCUGGAGCUAAUCCUUUGGAUUGUGAUCCUUUGGAUGACUUAUACCUACAUACAUGUCCCUGUCCCACAUACAGACGUAGGAAAUGGUAUUAAAGCUUCUGCAUUUGGUGCAGCCAAAUUCAGGACAUGGUAUAUCUGUAACUGUCUAGGAACGAGGGUUUGGGGGUGAGAACACCUCUGAGCAUAUUCUUCAGUUCUGAGUGGCACACUGAGGGCUGAGAUUUGUGCUGAAUGAAACGAUGAAUCAAGCUGGAUGACAGCUGUCACUCUUAUAAAAAUGAUACAGGUUGUACAGACACCCCAGUUCAGAGGGGACCAGUUUGACCAUCACCUUCAGGGUUCAAAGGCUAAUUUUUCACCACACAUUCAGUGGGCACCCAUGUUCAGGCUUCAGACAUUAAAACAGAAACCAUCUGUGGGUAUUUUUUUUUCAGGAGCAAAAGACCAACAGAACAUUUGGGCAAAUGGGUGCCCAAAGCUAUCUAUCUCCCUCACUGCAUUAUGAGAUGUGAUGGCUGCAAUAUGGCCAAAGCCCUGGCAUGACCCCAUGCCACAGCUCCAGAUGUCAUCCAGACUGGCAGGCUGAGCUCCCUCCCAGGAGAUGAGCUAUGGAAGGGAAAAACAGGACAGGUAGACAGGACCAGCUGUGGGGUGGAUGUGCCCUCAGACAGCCCCAUUGGGGUGAGUUUUUGGGAGGACCUGGCUGGAAAGCUUCAGAGCGAGGUUGGUCUUCAGACCAAAGCAUCUCUGCACUUGCUAUGGUAAUUGUGUAACUAAUGGCCUUAAGUUGUGCCAGGAGAGUUUCAGAUUGGGUAUUAGGAAAAAAUUCUUCUUAGAAAGAAUGGUGAUGCAGGGGCACAGCUGCCCAGGGAGGUGGGGGAGUCACCAUCCCUGGAGGUGUCCAAGAACCAUGGAGAUGUGGCACUGAGGGACGUGGUGGGGAUGGGCAAACGGUUGGACUGGAUGAUCUUAGAGGUCUUUUCCAACAUCAGUGAUUCUAUGAUCCUAACGCUAUCCCUAACCCUAAUGAUUUUAUAAACUAGGGAUAAGCAGAGAAGCUGGAGUGCCACACUGGGCUUGGAUUGAGGCACCUCAAUCUUCUUUUGUAUGCGUCUCUGGAAACGGGGUAAGUUUCCAGUCCACUUAUAGUAAAAGACCCUUUUAGGCCAGAGUGGUGGUUUUGUUGACAGAAAGAUGCACCCCUUAUGUGUGAAGGUAAGAAUUUGCAGGUGUUGCUGCACAACUCAGAGCAGAGCUCCCAGGCUGACUUUGAAAGUCUGAAUCUGCAAAUCCUUCCCUAUACCACCACACUAGUUUCAGGGAAAUGCUGCCUCUCAAAUCAGGUAGGAAAUUAAAAGAAAUUAAUAUGCUACUCAGCAAGAUUAAUUAAUUAGCUAAUGUGCAUAGAUCACUUAGGAACAGUAAAGCCCUCGAUAACUUUUAUGUCUGAGGAAAUAUGGUCUAAAGUGGUUCAAUUCCAGCCCAGCAAAACUGACAUCUAUUAGGGAAGCUGAUUUGGAGAGAAAGGUGCAGGAGGGGAUCGGUGCCAGCAGCUACCUGGUAAUCACGAGGAGGAACAGAAAGGCUCCAGCAGGAAGGACUUGGGGUUACAAGACCAUAAAACAUGGGAGUCCAUAAAGUUUCCGAGUUCUGAAGGCAUGCCUUAAAAGUUAAUAUCAUGCAAUAUCAGAGCCAUAACAACAAGUCACCUAGAGCCAUUUAUUAUUCAUUGAGAAUCACCCUCAUGCACAUCUACCAAAAGUCCUUUAAUGUCUCGGGUCUGUUCCUCUUAUCUAAAGGAGAUUUACAGGGAUACGAUUGCAUCUUAAGGAAAUGCCAAUCAAUUAUUUUAACAUUAAUUUCUGCCACUCUUAUAACUCUCCCAGGGUACAGAAUGACCAUAUAUAAUGGUGUAGCUGUUAAGCUGCAAGAGAUACCAUUUCCCCCUUUAUAAUUGGACAUUGUGUCAGUCGUGCUAUCAAUAACUGCUGCAUAAUACAAUUAUAGUUGUAUGCUAGAUUGCCAUGUAUUUCUUGUUAUAGCCCUGUGUUAUGCCUCUAAACAUCCUCUGGAAAUGUUUUUACAUGCUCUCCUGUACAGAGAACUGGCUUGACAUGAAAUUCAGUGUGUUUCAAUUUCAAAUAAAGGGAAUUAGGUGGUGACAUUCCCCUGAAAUAUGACAGAGGCUGUGUGCUUCAUUGUCUUGAGCUCGGAGCCAUCAGCACUUCUCCUCAAAAUGAAAAGAACAGCUAUGGGACCUUCAACCAUUCCUUCAGCUGUACGUCCUUGGAAGGAAAAACCAGAAAGGGUUGGACCUGACUCUGCUCUUAACCACUGCUGCUCCCCUGCAGUCAACAGUCACAAAUCCUGCCCUGUAUCUGCACAACCCUUCAGGCACGGAUUGCAGCCUGAAGCUCCCUCUGACACGCUCUGAUCAGUCUGGCUGCAGUCCAGCAGGAAAAGCCAAGGGAUUUUGUUGUGAGAACUUUAGGUCAGCUUUCCCAAGUCCAUGGGAAAGGGCUGUCCCCUUGGGGCCAACGACGAGAGGCAUUCAGAUCUGCUCUCCCAGCAAGAGAUGGGGAGAGUUCAUUACAUAGCCUCAGCCUUUGCUUCCUUAAUGAUCCCAAACACAGUGGAACAGCUAUGGUCUCCCCUUGGCUUGCCCAGACGCUCAGUCCACAUACACUACUAAGUGCUAGAAUGAGAAUUUGGCUUACAAGCAGGCAGCAUUCAGACCUGGGCCAGGAGGUACCAGAUGCAUAGAGUUCUAAAGCAAAUGCCAGCUUUCUGUCCAAAAAUGGUUCUGGUUCACAAAAUUAGGAACAGUUUCCAGUGAAUCUGAAGCAGAUGGAUGGGUUCACAGUAAAUUUAUGUCUUUGAGCCAUUUCAAGCAAUGGCACUUUAGGUUUUUUCUCCUUCCAGCUGCAUGUGGAGGCUGUGGUUGAGCUUUGUUGUGCCAGGUGCCAUCAAACAAACACGAAGAAUCAGCUCCUCCUUGGAUGUCUGUGAUUCUAAGCUGAGAGUUCCAACCCUGAGAGGGCUCAGAUUCGCAGGCAUCUCUGAGGGCAAAGUCCACAUCUCACACCACCCCAUGUCCAGCCUUUGUGUGUUGCUGCCUCUCCCAACCUCCUAAGGACCAACCAAAUCCGUCAGCCUUCAAACACAGGCACGCAGCUGAAGGAACUGGAAACCUUGUUGGACCACAUAUCAAUUUUGGCUGUCACGUCAACACAAAUCUCCUCCAAAACCUAAAUGCCCAGCACCUUGACACCUGCAGAUGUGACCCUGCUCAUUGAACCAUGCAAAAGAAAACAUCUCUGGGUUUGGCUCUUGCUCAACUUAACCAAAUUUGUAUGGUGGGGACCCCAAUUUGCUUACAUCUGGUGACAAAGUGUGUGAGCAUCAGCUGUGGAGAGUGAACCUCAGAGCAUCCUUCAGCAUUGCAAAGCAGUCAUCUAAUAAGGAUUUUGAGUAGCAAAGUUACCACGUCUGUGUCUGUUAUUAACAUUUAGGAGGUAAUCUGCCUACCACCAUAAAUGCUAACUACUCUGGCAUGCCCUUGACAGGUAUAAUUGUCUGUAGUCCUGUAAAAAGUAAUAGCCAUCUGGCAGAAAGCACUGAUGCUGUGAGAAGAAAUAGAAGAUGGGUGCCAGCAAGAGACCAAAGCAAAUCUCCCAGCACAGGUUACCUUGGGGCUGUGUGAUUGCCUGGCAAUCUGCUCGUGUCCCCCCUUUUCAGCUGCUUUCAAAGUCAUGGGAGGAACGUCUUUCAGUUUUAGCCUUGCAGCCAGCACAAGCCCUAUCUGAAUUUAUUACAGACAAGGAAGCAGAAAUAUUUCUGCUUCGCUGAAACUGACAAACAUGAAAAAAGAGCUAGCCUGGUGGAGAUCAAACUCAUGGGCUUCACGAGAAACCUUGCUCAGUUUCUGCAGAAAGUGUAUUGCCCUGUUAAUAAUACACUGUAUAUCAUCUGGCGUUUGCAAGGAAUGACCUGCCUGCUCCUCAGCAUCUCUGGCUCUCUUCAUUAUUAUAGCCCUUGUAAAAAAUGUCACAUUAAGUGCAAAGACCAACAGACCUGGAAAUAGACCAACAGUUCUGUUAUUCACAGAGCACUGUGGGCAGCCAGAUGCAGGCUUCUGCUGGGGAACCCCAGCACCAACCUCAAUACAGAAGAGCUUUCCUUGGGGCAAGAAUAGGACCUAGUUCAUAUCGCUGAUUACUCAUCCUUGUUGAUGAAUCUGCUGAAAAAUCUCACGACAAGGGCAGGUGAUGGUAAAGCAGGGGCAUUUUCCAGCAGGUGCCAUGCUGAGAUUUACAGUGCAGCGGGUGCUGAUCAGCCAACAGCUGGCAGCAACCUGCAGCAAUGGGCUCAGUGCUGCCUGCAUCCAUCAGCCCUGCUGCUACCUGCAUGGGGAGGAUGGAAGAUAUGGAAGGAGGGGAUUCCCCAGCAAAUGCCAUUCCCAGGCUCUGACAGAAAGCAGGAGCAACCAUUCCACGUCCAAACUCUGUGACCCAAGAUAACCAAACAACUUCAAACCAGCUUCCAAAAGCCAUUCACCCUUAUGACCGCUUUCUCUGAACUUCACGGAGGUUAUGACCAGAUUGUCACUGUAGCAGAGGAGGGAAAUCCAUCUCCAGAGUGUGGGAAAGGAAAUCUGAACUUUUGUGUAAACGAAGAUCUGCACCCAAGGCUGGGCUGACCCGUGGGCUGGCUUUUCCCUUUGCAGCUUUAAAGAAGUGCUGAGUUCAUAUGCACCAUUAACGGUACACCAGCAUCACUUUGGGUCCAGGUACAUUUCCAAGGAUAGGACUCACUCUCACAAAUCUCCCCGUGGUGUUUUAAUACUCUCCAGGAAAUAAAGGAGCACAGUCCCUGUUGCAGCAAAGCCUCCUGAGGAUGGCUUGACCCCAGUUAACGAUAACAACGACCACCAGGACAAUGCAGAAGAAUUUAGGGAGGAAAAGGGCAAGUUUCACUCCUGCUGCUCAGAAAAGCUGAUCUUGUCUGUAACCUCUGGAUGAGUGUACACGAGCUGCAGAUCCAAGCCAUCUGCUGCCAGACAGCUGCAUUUAUGCAGAAAAGCAGCCCACAGCCUUCAGACAAAGCCACCCCAAAGGAACAACACUGCACCCCACUGCCUGCCCAUGGUGGAUGAGAAACCCCACAUCUUACACAACUAUUGCUAUUCAAUGGAUAGCAGCUCACUGGCAGCAACUGGUGAUCAGCCUGUCAACGCCAUCUGAUUUAACUUUCCAUUUUUCAGUGCAUAGACCAGCUGCUCAGACCUAAGGUUGUCCCAUGGAGCAGCAAAACAGCACAAACCCUUCGCUGCCUGCAGCUGAAGGAGGCAAUACUGCUGAUCCUAAAACUCUCAUAGGAGGAUUUUCUCCAAAUGGUUCAUAUUCAGCCCUUUGGUUGCCCUGAACUGCUUUCCCUGACCCCAUUUAAUAGUUUUCAGGACACUGACACUUGCUUUUCUGAUUUUAUCUCAUCCUUCUCCUGCUUUGCAUAAAUCAGGAGCAUUGGCAUUAAAGUCUAUUCUUUCCCCAAGUUCUAAAAUGUGAGUAAAACUGCUACAAGCACUGAGAUUUACUCCAAGCUCUGGCUUUGUUCCUAAACAUCAGUAACUGCAAGCACAGGGACUGCUCCUCACUGAAGGGACAGAGUGCUGUGUACUGAGUGGGCACGUAGCACCAGACUGCAGCAGUGAAGUUCAGCUCAUGGUCGGGAUUUUGGCAGCUCUGCCUUCCAGAGAUCCACCUGCAGCUCCCCGACAUGAUUUCUCAUUACACAUGAG